rnacentral:sRNA from 1 species
GGACCGAACCCAGGAGCUCCGCACGGUCAUGUGGGAAAGACACAUGGGACCUGUUGCAGGAGGCUGAAGAUGUAGCAAGGAGGGAGAGUUGGAGCAGCACAAUCCUGAAAGGCUUCCUGGAAGAAGAGACCCUGGGAUAGCCCAGGAGCAGGAGCUGGAUUUGAAUAGGAGGAGAGGCCAAGGACAGCGAUGAUGAUGACGAUGUCGCUGUCACCGUGGACCGAGACCGCUUCAUGGAUGAGUUCUUUGAGCAGGUGGAGGAGAUUCGAGGCUUCAUUGACAAGAUCGCAGAGAACGUGGAGGAGGUGAAGCGGAAGCACAGUGCCAUCCUGGCGUCCCCCAACCCCGAUGAGAAGACGAAGGAGGAGCUGGAAGAACUCAUGUCCGACAUAAAGAAGACAGCAAACAAAGUUCGUUCCAAGUUAAAGAGCAUCGAGCAGUCCAUCGAGCAAGAGGAAGGCCUGAACCGCUCCUCCGCUGACCUGAGGAUCCGGAAGACACAGCACUCCACGCUGUCCAGAAAGUUUGUGGAGGUCAUGUCGGAGUACAACGCCACGCAGUCCGACUACCGCGAGCGCUGCAAGGGCCGCAUCCAAAGGCAACUGGAGAUCACCGGCAGGACCACGACCAGUGAGGAGCUGGAGGACAUGCUGGAGAGUGGGAACCCCGCCAUCUUUGCCUCUGGGAUCAUCAUGGACUCCAGCAUCUCCAAGCAGGCUCUGAGCGAGAUUGAGACGCGACACAGUGAGAUCAUCAAGCUGGAGAACAGCAUCCGUGAGCUACACGACAUGUUCAUGGACAUGGCCAUGCUCGUGGAGAGCCAG